GACGAACGCUGGCGGCGUGCUUAACACAUGCAAGUCGAACGGAAAGGCCCUGCUUUUGUGGGGUGCUCGAGCGGCGAACGGGUGAGUAACACGUGAGUAACCUGCCCUUGACUUUGGGAUAACUUCAGGAAACUGGGGCUAAUACCGGAUAGGAGCUCCUGCUGCAUGGUGGGGGUUGGAAAGUUUCGGCGGUUGGGGAUGGACUCGCGGCUUAUCAGCUUGUUGGUGGGGUAGUGGCUUACCAAGGCUUUGACGGGUAGCCGGCCUGAGAGGGUGACCGGCCACAUUGGGACUGAGAUACGGCCCAGACUCCUACGGGAGGCAGCAGUGGGGAAUAUUGCACAAUGGGCGGGAGCCUGAUGCAGCAACGCCGCGUGCGGGAUGACGGCCUUCGGGUUGUAAACCGCUUUCGCCUGUGACGAAGCGUGAGUGACGGUAAUGGGUAAAGAAGCACCGGCUAACUACGUG
rnacentral:rRNA from 1 species